rnacentral:misc_RNA from 1 species
GAUGAAGAACGUAGCGAAAUGCGAUAAGUAAUGUGAAUUGCAGAAUUCAGUGAAUCAUUGAAUCUUUGAACGCACAUUGCGCCCCCUGGUAUUCCGGGGGGCAUGCCUGUCCGAGCGUCAUUACAACCCUCAAGCUCAGCUUGGUGUUGGGCCCCGCCGCCCCGGCGGGCCCUAAAGUCAGUGGCGGUGCCGUCCGGCUCCGAGCGUAGUAAUUCUUCUCGCUCUGGAGGUCCGGUCGUGUGCUCGCCAGCAACCCCCAAUUUUUUUCAGGUUGACCUCGGAUCAGGUAGGGAUACCCGCUGAACUUAAGCAUAUAAUAAGCGGAGGA